UUCACCCUCAUCCUACACAAUACAUUGGUUUAAAAAGACCAGCUUCCGAGGUGGCUGAAAGUUAGUCACAGUUUCGUUCAUCAUUCUAUCUUGGGACAUCUCAUCUAUACCAGCUCGAGAGACCUACCAGAGUCCAGAUGGCCCUCACCGGAAUCUGGUGCGCAUUUGUGCUUGUGUGUGUCAAGCUGUGUCAGACGGGGAAGAUCGACUCUGUCGGAGGGUCGUCGGAUCUCAAGCUCGGACACCAGGAUAAACCAACAUGGCUCGAAACAUUACAGGAGAAACAGGUAUCCGCCGACGACAAAUACAACCUCGCCUGGCUGCUUUACAAGCUUCCACAGUCACACCACGACAACACGUUCAAAACAAACUUUCUCCCUCAUGGACCGGAGAGUGUCGGGAAACAGGAGAGUAGGCGCGAGACUAUACCACCGGACUCGCGCGUUCGCAAACAAGGAUGCAAAGUGUUCUUUUGGAAGUCAUGGACCGCAUGCUGACAGGCUUGUCUACUUUUUACUCCGAAACCAGAUGGCCUUCGAAUCGACGACAGCUUUCAUUCCAAAUCCUUACUAGCUUGCCAACGUUUUUACGAAAUUGUUAAUUUAACUUAUUAUUUUUAUUAAUGUUAAGUUACAUGGUUGUGAGGCUAUAGCCUAUUUGUCAAAUUUGAAUAAAAUCUGAAUUAUUUAUUCA